CGCAUCUGUGCAUGCAGCAUAUCAAUAAGCGGAGGAAAAGAAACUAACAAGGAUUCCCCUAGUAACGGCGAGUGAAGCGGGAAGAGCUCAAAUUUGAAAUCUUAAAGGGUUUCCCUUUACGAAUUGUAGUUUAAAGAAGUGUUUUCUGUUGAGGUUUUGGUAAAAGUUCUUUGGAAUAGGACAUCAUAGAGGGUGAGAAUCCCGUAUUUGACCUUUACUUUCAACUUUGUGAUACACUUUCAAAGAGUCGGAUUGUUUGGGAAUGCAGUCCAAAAUGGGUGGUAAAUUUCAUCUAAAGCUAAAUAUUGGCGAGAGACCGAUAGCGAACAAGUACCGUGAGGGAAAGAUGAAAAGAACUUUGAAAAGAGAGUUAAACAGUACGUGAAAUUGUCAAAAGGGAAGCGUUUGACACCAGUGUUGCUUUUUCUGAAAAUCAAUUAAAGAACUGUUUAUGCUAAGUUGUUUAGACUUUAUCAGCUAUCUGUUUAGUUUUGAGCUUUUCUUUAAUGCACUUUUCAGUUAACAAGUCAACAUCAAUUUCUUUUGCUGUAAAAAAGCUUGAGGAAGGUGGCUUGAGAUUCGUCUUAAGUGUUUAUAGCCUCUUGCCUAUGCAGUCGGAGAGAUUGAAGUCUGCAGCGUAGAUCCUUCGGGGCUAAAUGCAUUUGUGCUAAGUUAUAGCAUUUUAUAGACAACUUGUUGACUAUGAUUUGUCUUGUAGCUUACUCGCUUAUGUUAUUUUACCUACGCUUAGGAUGUUGAACGCGCACAGAGUCUC
rnacentral:rRNA from 1 species